rnacentral:lncRNA from 1 species
AUGUCAGAAGGGUCUUCUCCUUGUGACAUCUUUGAGGAUGCCAUCCAAUCACAUUGUCCAAUGACAGAAGAGGAAGAUAGUGACGUUGAUUUGAGCGACAGUGUUAUCGAUGACACAUGCAGCUCAUACUGCUCUGCUGUCUGUUCUCUAAGUGACCAUGAUGAGAUGCUUGAGGACAAAACUUGUUGCCCCUGCUUAGGACCAGGAAAUCCCCCUGAAGGCAAGGCUCCAGCUCCUAUACAAGAGUUCGACAGUAAAACUGCUCUACUUCCUGCUCCAAUACAAGACAUUGACAGUAGACCUGUUCUACUUCCUGUUCCUGUACAAGAGAUCAACAUUAAAACGUCUCUUCUUCCUGCUCCUGUACAACAGACCAACAUUAAAACGGCUCUUCUUCCUGCUCCUGUACAAGAGAUCGACAGUAAAACUGCUCUACUUCCUGCACAAAACUCGUCAGCUAUAUCUCUUGAGGCCAGUGAUCCAGACAUUUUAAAGAAGUCCUUUUCUGUGCCCUCCUCAUAUGAACCUGUGGAAAUCUCACUUUCGCCCGACUCUAUUUCAUCAUCACAGACAUCCAGGAGUUCCUUGGCAUUAACUCAUCACAUCUCACCAGCACCUACAACAACAAAUCAGACUUUUAAACAAACAGCACAUGGCUCCACCAACAACGGUUUUCAAACAGGCAGUGUAUUUUUGUCAGAGUCCUCUCAUUCCCCAAGAAUUAAUGUCCCAUCAAAAGAUAUCGUUAAAGUCAAAAUGUCUACUCAUACUGACACCAACACCAAGGAAGGAUUCUGCUUUCCACCUCUUCAGUCUAACUUCGAAACUAUUUUGAUCACGCCUGAGGGAAAUCAAUACAACCAGGACAGGGUAAGAGAAAUCAGUGGCAAAAUGCCAACAGAGGUGCUCCUGAAACAUGGGCCAUGUCUUGCAGAGGUUGCUAGCAGCCAUAUGGUUGAGUGGAGCAGACUGCACCAGGGUCAGCCUAUGAAGAAGAGCCUGGUUGGGGGGGGGGAGGGUCAGGGCACGAUGGCCAGCUGCAGAGUGGAGCAGGCUGAACUGUCAGUCAGGGACAGAAAUAGGAAAGUGUCUGCAAGCUGCAUCUCGACACUCACAGGCAGUGUGCACAAGCCAGGAAUCCCGCCUCACUGUUAUUCUGAGUGUAUCCUCGCAACCGGGCAGCAACACCAGCCGCAUAGUCCUCCCGAAUUGCGGAGGUGGCAAAAGCAGUGCGGGCAAGUCGCCUGGAGGUCUAGAGCGCUCCCUCAGAAACUCAGCGGCAGCUCUGGGAAAGACUUCAGCGCCACGCAGCAGAGCAGUGGAAAAAACAACAUGGGCACGAAGCUCAGUGAGAUUGACAGUGAGGUCAAGACUCUUAGUAACCUGCCAAAGAAGACAUUCUUUUGCCCCAAGACAAACUAUUUGGAUGUUUACAACCUCACCUGCAGGUCUUCCACCCAGCCUUACAUAGAGAGCAAUUUCAAUGGCUGGGCGGAGGACGAGGUUUCCUUUAAGCUGCCAAUGGCUUUUUCGCUGAACAACCACAACACAUCGGCGUGGUCCGAGGCCAGCAGCGCUGAAUGUAUUGACGUUGCCCUGGAAACCCAUGAGGAGGUGCAAAGAGGCAGCAUGAAGACGGUACCCAAGAGACAGAUCCAGCUUAAGAGAAAGGACACUACGGAGUCGAACACCAACGAAAACCACGACGAGCCCCGGGAGGCCCCUCCAGGGCCCAGUCGUCCGAGGGACGGCUUUCUGCGUCAGAACAGCACACCAGCAGCCUUUCACCAGGAGUCGCAUGGGCCUGAGCAGAGGUCAGUUCAGGCCGAACGUAAACAGAGGCUGCAGAAAUCCCUGUCACUGGACGAGACUUCCAGCAGAACCAAAAUGGCCUCCUGUCUGAUAAAGAAUGUCCUGUCAAAGAAGAUGCAACAUGAGCAGGGCUUUCGGAAUGCAGAAGUGCAGGAGAAUGCUUCUGCCACUCUUACGGCGCAAACCAACAGUAAUGAUACUUACCAACCUCCAUCUGCCAAGGAACUCCCUGCUGAACCCACAAAAAUUAACUUAAGUUCAAGUGUACCCUCACAGCACAAGGUGCCCUCACACAGUCCUCCAGUGAAGGCUCCGAGCUGCUCAAUCAAAGAAUACAUUAGGGUCAACUCCAAACCCCAACAGAAACCCAUCACCAAUAACAGAUUCAAUCCUCUCAGCUGUGGAGGUGGAUGGGCUGAGUUUCAGGAUCAGGACAGCCCAGAAAUAACCUCCAUUGCGGACGGUAAGAAAGCAGAGAAGCCGAUCCCCAGAGACGAGGCAACAUGGCUGGCUCGCUGGAGCCCGGGAGAGAAGUUAUCGUGUGACUCAGCAAAGGGCAGAGGCUGGAACACGAGUGCAGUGAUAAGCAGGGCCACAGGCUCCCAGGCCUGCCUGAAAGCCACACUUGAGGAAUGCUGCGUGGGGAAGGGAAACCAUAAACAACAGCACACCAAGAACCAACCAGAACCCAAGACGUGGGAGAAAGACGCCAGGAAAGAUAGACUGUGUGGCAACAAAGAAAUGCCACCAAGCCCACAGAAGAUCUCCAGCCUGCUCUCAGAUCUGGAGAUACGUCCAGAUGAAAGUAAUCAGCCCCUGACACCUGAGUGCACUACAGGGAUAGAGAAGGAGCAGCUAACAGAAAAAGGGGACCUGAAGGUACCAGGACAAUUUGGCAAUGUGAGUACCCAUGACAAAUUGAAAGGAAUCGCACCGGUUCAUGUGGUCAGGGAUAUGAGAAGUCUGGUGAAAAACACCUAUAACCUCUCAUUCCGGGGACCUGGUGGCACACUGCAGGGACUCGAGGAAAGCUUUAGUGUUUUGAAACCAGCCACACAAUCAUGCAAAAGAGCAGGCGAUAAAGGCAAUGUGUUCGAGUCAGGAGACAAACAGCUGGGGAAGAAGGCCCUUUCAUCUCCACCUGUGCAGGCACAGAAGAUGAGGGAUUUAAAUUCUCAACACAACACUCCCCGAGGAGGCCUUAAUAAGCGUGACACUAGAUUUACAAAGGUUAGUCCAAACAGUCGGUCCGCUGCCAGCAGCUGUCUCGAGUCAGACGGCAUGGAAGGAAUGAAUAGCAGCGAUAGCCUGUGUAAACUUGACGCUCAGAGUGACAACCCAAAAUGUAAACACACUGACAGAGCAGAGAAGCCACCGCAGGCCUUACCGGAACCCUCUGCUGAGCUGCUGACUGAUGGAGAAGUGUCAGACAACAAUCAAGAUCAACAUGAGAGGUCCCGCUCGAGAGGUCCCGCUGAAGAGCACCUGCAGCAACAAGCAGUACCUCUGCAUGGCUUUGCUGCAGCAUCUCAGUGCUACCCAUCCCCAGCACUCCUCAAGGAGAGCUUCCAGAGCCCAUCUUUGCCACCCCACUGCCAGGCCCCCCCUGCCUGUGUGCUCACCAGAACCAUCACCCCUGCCCAGGUCUUGCCCACGUAUUACUACAAAGCUAAUCCUCUGAGCUACCCAGCAAUGUCACCGCACAUGAGCGCGAUGGGCUUUGUGCAGGGUCCAGUGAUACUGCAGGCGUCAGCUCAGCCCGUCUCAUCCACUGGACCCAGUCCUCUGGUGAAGCACAUGUCAGAGGACAGCCAACAGCCAGCCAUGAGUUGCUACACAGAGAGACGUCAGGGACAGAAGGGCUCCCCCAAGCAGACCGGAAAUGGAGAGAACCGGGGUCUGGUCCGUGAGCCAAAAAUGCCCUCUCCCGAAGCGCAGCCUUACCUGUGUGCCACCCAGACCACCUUCCCCAUGUUUACCUCUGAGGGUCGACACAGCAGUGCCAGCGUGAUCUACCCAGAGUGGGGCGGGGGGUUGAUGCAGGGGCAGGGGCAGGGGGCUCCUCGCCACCUCCUGCUGGACCCCGAGACCGGAAGGUGCUUCUACGUGGACGUUCCUUUGCAGCCACAGCGCAAGAUGCUGUUCGACCCAGAGACAUGCCAGUACGUAGAGGUGCUGCUGCCCCAGCAGUCGCUGCCCAGCGCUGUGAUGUCCCCUCCGUGCGCUAUGCCGCUCCCUUACCCGGCCGUGUACACCCCCAACUUUCUGCCCUACAUGCAGUCUCACACACAGGUGCUGCCACAUCCCGGGCCCUGA